AUGGCAGGUACAGGCAUUUGGCUCUUCACAUGUCAUCACUCCAUGCAGCACACUCAGAACUCACAGCCAUCAUUCCUUACCGACCACAGUGCAUUCAAUACACCAUGCCUCAUGCCUGUGCCACCUGGGUGCGCUCUCCUGACGGGCCCUGCACCCCUCAUUCUCCAGCCCUAGUCCCCGGCAGUGACCUCCCCAAUCCUGGGGUCCAUCCGGAGCUUCACUCUAGUGCCAGCGGCAAUCGGCAACCUGAUAACCAAUGUAAUGCAUGCCUGCUCCUGACGAGCGACCAACAGUCGCGAAACGCGUAGAGCUCUAUAUCUCAUGCAUUAAUGUAUUAUCACUGCAGUGCCAUGUGAUGUAAUUUCCAUUUUAAAUAUGCGAUAUCUAUUUUAUGUCUCAAAAAUAUAGUACAGCUUGAUGUACUCAUUGCAUUUAUAUAUUUGGGUCACUGCCCACGUACCUUGUCCCCCAACUAAUCUGUGAAACAUAUAUGUUUAUCUAUUUCUUCAAUAGUGCAAUAUAGUCAUGGACGGUGCAUUAUGUGAAAGUAAUAAAAUAUUUA